rnacentral:rRNA from 1 species
CUCAGGAUGAACGCUAGCGGGAGGCCUAACACAUGCAAGCCGAGCGGUAGAAGAUCUUCGGAUCUUUGAGAGCGGCGUACGGGUGCGGAACACGUGUGCAACCUGCCUUUAUCAGGGGGAUAGCCUUUCGAAAGGAAGAUUAAUACCCCAUAAUAUAAUUGAUGGCAUCAUUAAUUAUUGAAAACUCCGGUGGAUAGAGAUGGGCACGCGCAAGAUUAGAUAGUUGGUAGGGUAACGGCCUACCAAGUCAGUGAUCUUUAGGGGGCCUGAGAGGGUGAUCCCCCACACUGGUACUGAGACACGGACCAGACUCCUACGGGAGGCAGCAGUGAGGAAUAUUGGACAAUGGGUGAGAGCCUGAUCCAGCCAUCCCGCGUGAAGGACGACGGCCCUAUGGGUUGUAAACUUCUUUUGUAUAGGGAUAAACCUUUCCACGUGUGGAAAGCUGAAGGUACUAUACGAAUAAGCACCGGCUAACUCCGUGCCAGCAGCCGCGGUAAUACGGAGGGUGCAAGCGUUAUCCGGAUUUAUUGGGUUUAAAGGGUCCGUAGGCGGAUCUGUAAGUCAGUGGUGAAAUCUCAUAGCUUAACUAUGAAACUGCCAUUGAUACUGCAGGUCUUGAGUAAAGUAGAAGUGGCUGGAAUAAGUAGUGUAGCGGUGAAAUGCAUAGAUAUUACUUAGAACACCAAUUGCGAAGGCAGGUCACUAUGUUUUAAC